rnacentral:lncRNA from 1 species
UUUGUAAGCCUUAUUUCGAUGUCAAAAUAUGUUAUCUAAUAAUAUUUUAUUCGAUAUAAUAAUCUUUUACUAUAAUUGAAAGCUAGAAGUAUGAUUAACUGUUUAAAAUAUAAUAACAUAUUGUAUCUUUAAGUCAUUUUAAAAGAAUAAAAUAAAUUGUGGAUAGUAAAUGCUAAGCAGCAACUAUUCCAAAAAUACAUGCUGAUAGAAAAGACGCAUUCAUCAUACUUAAGGGUUUAACCACAGCGCUCAGAGGUUUCGAAUAAAACGCAGGACUUUGCGUGUAGAAUCUAUUGGUGUAAUAAAUGAUAGGGGAGGAGGACAAAGUGGAGGGAGA